rnacentral:rRNA from 1 species
AUGCACCAGCCCGCCCGUCGAUCUACGCUGGUCGUCAUCGCCUUGCUCCGACCGGGACACCUGCAUCGCCCCGACCCGAUGGCCUCGCGCCAUGCGACGGCCAAUCAUAGUCGUCGUUCGCACGUCAGCUCGCCCAUUGAUCCACGUCACCCGCCUCCGUCGCGUUUGCACGGCGGCUCGACGGUCUACCUCGAUGGCCUCGUCCUCAGCUGCGUCCGGACGACUGCGUCAAGCUCGUCGGAUGCCUCAACUCGGGCAUCGCUGCUCCGUUGGUCGCUCGGGCCUCCCUGCCCGGGCGUCGACGCUGCUUUGGCAGCCCGGGUGUCGGUUCUGACACGCUCGUCCGCACGACGUCCCACGCCGUCCGUCGUCGCCGGCCUCAUCCCGGACUCCGUCGGCACCACGCCUUCACCGAGCGGCGUCCCCGACCUCGCGCGCGAUCGGCUUGAUCACUCGCUCGCCGCCGCGAUCCGUCCCAUCUACGUCGCGCGACGAAUCUGGCCCGUCGGUUGCGCGUGCCUCCACAAGUCCCGUAAAGAUUGUCCCCGAGUUCAGCGCGCCCUUCCGCCGAUCGAGCAACGGGCUGCCGCUGCAUCGCCCCAUCGGGCCGCAGCACCGCCGCCCCUGUGGUUCUCCUCGCGGCUACAUCGACUCGCGCGUCGCCGCUACGUCGCCCCUACGGGCCGUAGUGUCGCGAUACGCGGUCCCAGCCGCCGCCUCGAGGUCGUCCCCAUGGUUGCACCAACCCGCGCUCCGCCGCUGCACCGCCCUUCGGGCCUUAGCGCCGCGGCCCGUGGUUCCUGUCGUCGCCCCGACCUGCCCGCCGCCACUGCGUCGCCCCUUCGGGCCGUAGUGUCGGGACCCGUGGUCCACUCCGCCGUCAUCGCGGGUCGACCUCCCGUGGUAUAUGUCAUGCCGUCUCCCUUGGCGCGGGAACGCCACCGUCCGUGCAGGUCUUUGUCACGCUGUCAGGGUUCUUUGCCUACUUCGAGCACCGCCGCCGUGCUCCUAACCUAG